UUCAACAAUCAUUGUCAGUUAUUUGGUUUCCUUUGAUAACUAAUUAAUUGAACCUAAAAAAUACAAGAUUUCGGGCUUUAAUUUAAUGAUGACAGGAAUCUAAAGAAAUCCUAAAUUGAAAAUGUAUCAACUGCAAACAAGUUACGUUUUCUCAGCCUACAGAAAGCUGGCUUGAAGAGAAACCUUUGGUAAAGAAGCUGUUUCUUAUACAAGCUCCUCUGUAUUCAAAUCACAACACAUUCAUUCUGCUCUUUAAUUCCCGGGUGAGGACACAGUGACCCGCAAAGGCUGUAAAACUCCUCUGAACUCUAGUGAAGAUGGAUUAGUGGGAUUCAGUCUGCCACGAUUUCUUUUGAUGAGAAGUAACCGGACGGUCUCGGUCUUGGGUUCCAUUGACUAGAAAGGAGACUUUCUUAUUCUGUCUCAAGCUGUUGUCAGUACAACGUAGCAAUGAUGUAGGUUAUUUUGUGGGCAGCCCGUCACUAACACACGAUAACGCUUGCCUUUUCAAACAUUUAACAUCUUGGAUGUCUUCGGAUUGUGUCCCUCAACAAAAGUUUUUUGACCCCCUCACUGGCCCGUUUGAAUGUGCGGGCCACAGUAGCUUAGACACUUUGAUGAUAAAUUUUUGCCUCUAAACUUCACAUAAGCACCAGACAUCUCUAUGGAAAACUGCCGUUUUCAUGGUGUUCCAUUGUACCAUGGAUGGCGUAACAGUUGUAAUGUUCCAGCGUUGCUGUGCUCCAAGCUUUAAAAGCAGACCUCAUAAAUACACUAAGUUUGACCAUCUGCAGCUAAAGGGCUGAUAUAUUUUUGGCUUAACUUUAAAGUCCACGGAUUGAACGAAAGUGUGUCUAUUUCCAUCCUUUAAUGCUGCACAACUUUCAGGAUUUGUAUUGUGGAUUUUUGCAAGUUGCAAAUUCGCUGAGCGUGCACAGCGCUCUGGGUGAUAACCUUAGACCGGAUGAUUGGGAGUCUUUUACAUUAAUUGAUUGUGAUUGUGAUCAUUAGCUGUGUGAAAUGCACAAACGCUGUGCGCCGGCUGACCAAUCACAUGGUUCACUGCUGUUUUACAAUGACAUUCAGUUAACAGUGUGGUCAGGAAGUUUUUUUUAUUCAUCUCCCCUCAAGUACUUGGAGGCCGCUGUCUGUUAUCUGGCCAAGACAUUCCUCUCAGAUGCCGCUCCAUAUUUGGACAGCAGUUUGGAUUAAGCUUUUGUCCCAUGAGUGUGUUCCUGGGUGGACGGAGAGAUACAGUGGUCUGCUGUGGCAGAGGGCUCCAACACCGACACAUUUAAGGGAGCAGGGUUGGAUCUGUGGGUGGGCAGCUUGUUCGAGACAGCACAAACCCAACGUCUAGUGCUAAGGCCAGUCAUAGCUAAUGGAAUAUCAACAUGAAAUCUGCUCUUCAAUAAUUUCCAAGCCUUUCUGUUUUCAAGAUGAGUAGUUUGAGCACAUAUCCAUCGUAGUGAAGAAUACUUCAUGACAUUGCUGACCUGUGCUUCAUGGCUUGUGAAUUGGCUCUUGAUUUUCAGUUUUGUUGUUUUAUAACAAAUUUAGCAGAAGUAGUUUUUAUGUGCCAUGGGAGCACUUUGAACAUGCGUAGUAAGAUAAAGUGAUAUUUACCAAAUUUAUUUAACUAGGAUUAAGCAUGGCACACACAUUUGGGUUGCCAGAAGUUGUGAUAGCUCAUUGGGUACAAGAAGCAUUACAUAGAACUGCAUGCACCGUGAACUUCUGGUUGCCUGGCAACUAAAUAGGGGGAGAUGUUUUUUUUUUUUUUUGUAAAUAAAAAUAGGCAAAAGGAAAACAUAGUUUUUUUUACCUGUACUUCAACCAGCAGGGGAGGAGCUGAUUGAAAGCACUGUAAAUAUGACUCAGGAGAGGAUGUUGCACAUCAUGAGUUUUUAUUCCUUCGGCUCAUUUUGUUGCCAAACCAGGUGAAGACAAAUACAUUGACAGAAAGAUCAGCUAAUUAAAACUUAAAGUAAUAAGCUUAAUUAAUGACAUCAUUGGCAUAACAGGUCGUGUUCAGCCCCAUUACCAUAACCGCUCAUGGUUAAUGUAUCAUGUUGAUUAUUUCACUGCUUAAUGAAGCUCAUGUGCAUUUUGCUUUCACUGGACUGAUUCAAAGUCAUCACUGAUGGGAAAAUAAACUCCUAUUGGUCGUUAGAAAGUCAAUGCAGAAAACAUUUUGAUAAUGUCAUUUCAAAUAAAAGCAAGGUAACAUUUAAAUCAAAUGGGUCUUUUAUAUUACAGGCAGAGCCAGCCCAAGGCAUACCCAAGGCGAUUCAUUGGGAUUAACCCAGAGAGGCACAAAAUCCUACCAAGGAAAGGUGGUGUCCAAAAAGACAGGAAAGGCCAUCCAAAAGAAACUGCAGACAGUGAAUGCGCACGUUUCUACCCUGAUAAAAAAUCGUAUGGACUUUGAGUGGCACUUCAUGCAGUAAGUGACACUCCUGUUGACAAAGUCAUUGUUGACUAUUUAUAAUCCUGUUCAGGAUAAUAAAGCAUGUUUUUCUGUAGCCAUGUUAAAAUGUUAUGAUUGGGUACUUAUCAUUUACCCAGUGAUUCAGCAAAGCAUUUGUAUUAGGUUAUUUUCUUUAGAGUUUUCAUUUUUUUGAAUCUUAGAAUUGUUAAAACUGAUAAUGUAAAAGACUGCAAUCUGCAUUUUUCUUCUUUUUAUUGAAUCGUAAUUGCAGCCAUGGACAUUUUAUUUGUUAUGCGGCCAAUUUUUUAACUAUUCCCUGUGCCAUGGAAAUGCGUGUUUCUAAUUUAAUUUGUAAGAACAAAACUGCAUAUGGUUUAUUGUUGCAUAUUGGUUUAUAAAUAAACAUUCAGGCCUAUGUUCUUCAUGUCAUCCUUUUUAUUUUAUGUUUCAUAGAACUUACCCGUUUUGAAAACUGCACCAAUAACUUUUUUGUGGGUCAUUUCUUUUUGUGUUACACCCUGUGCCAGAAAACAUUUUUACUAUUUUAGUGAUUGUACAGUUGCACUGUAUUUUCGCAGAUGUUUACUUAUAAAGUAAAUUCAGUAAUGAAACUCAUUACAGUAACAUUCUGACAGCAACAGACGCCAGUAUGUAACUAUAAAUUUAUAUGUUCACUAAAACAAUUACUUUAACGGUAAAAUACUUUAAAACUGUUACAGCAUUGAAAAUGUAAAUCAAACAUUCAGACCUAUGUUUUUCAUGUCAUCCUUUUUAUUUUAGGUUUCAUAAAAACUCAGUUUUUUACAGUACCUCUACUGUAUUCACUUUAACAGUAAGUUACUGUAAAAGUAAUUUACAGUAUAGUUACUGUAAAAUAACGGUAAAAUGCUGGCGUCUGUAGCUGCCAGUAUUCUACUACUUUUUUACAUGCAUUUUUUCUUAGGGUGUAGUUUAGAGACAGUAUCCACGAGAAAAAAACCAGGAAGACAGAGCUGAAUGUUACAGAGCUCAAGAAGUUGAGGUUCUCUUUGGGAGGGAUGAUGAUGGAUAGGAUCAGGAAUGAGUUCAUCAGAGAGAUGGCUCAUCUUUGAUGAUUUUGAAGUUUGAGGAUAGACUGAGAUGGUUUGGACAUGUCCAGAGGAGAGUCAAUGAUUACAACGGUAGAAGGAUGCUAAGGUUGGAGCAGUCAGGAAGGAGGCUGAAAGGAGAUUCAUGGAUGUGGUGAAAGAGGGUAUGAAGUCAGUUAGUGUGAGGGUAGAGGGUGCAGAAGAUAAGGGAAAAAAUGAAAACCAUACCUUUUAACCAACAUUUCAAAAUGCUUAUAAUUGUAAACAUUCAAAUUCAGAAAGCAACAUUUCUGAAAUCCAUACAACUUCACCAAUUUUAAAGUCCAAGUUACCCUCUUGACCACAGUCUUAAACUACCCACACUGUCUGCUUUUCAAACAGACAGUGUGGGUUACCACACACACACAGGUUUAUAUAAUGAUAAAUAAUAAAUAGCUAAAAGUACCUGGUAAGUCGUCAGUGAGAAUAUCCUCUUUUUCAUCCAGGUGGAGCUGCUACAGUGGAGAUUUGUCUCGAGCAAGAUCGAUCACCUUUGCUCUGCGAUGCACUGGGGUGGAUCCAUCCAGCAACUGGUAACCUGAGCCAGCGAUUUCGUGACUUACACCACUCGGUACUCCUAAGAAUGGGUACUUCUUCAAGACACCCUCCACAGCCAUACCAUCUGCAAUUUCUUUUCGUCGCCAAACAAAGGUUUGCUGCAUACUGUCACGCACCACCAUGAUGUCUGGUUGCAUCUUCUGAUACUGGCAAUGCAGCACCUUUGGAUUACAGAAGUUUCCAGAAUCAGCUCCACCUCGACAGCCAAUCAUUUAUUGACUGGCACAUCAGCUGACCAAGAUGAAGCCAAUCGCUGGCUGUGUCUCAAUUCAGGGUCUGCAUCCUUCGUCGGCCGGUUACGUCACAGCGCCGCGACCAGGCCUGUCCCAAUUCGAAGACUCCUUCAAAUGCGGUUGACAAAUCCGGCCUUCUAUUCGGCUGCAAGAAGGAUGGGUCCAGUGUAUCCUUCAAUGGUUCACAUUUCCCAAGAUGCCUUGCAAGCCGGAUGGCAGAACUUUUAAAAACAAUGGCGGACAGUGAAGCGGGAGCUGUCAGAGAGGAUUGUGCAUAUAAAUGUCAGUAUAAACUUGAAAACUAUUAGGUUAAGGACUUUUUGUGAUACAUGAACGUUAUUUUAGUUAGAAAUGUUGCAGUAAAAGUGCUUGUAUUGCGGUCUCGGCUCGUAUGUUCGGCCACUCGGUGUUGUACUUCUCCCGCUACGUUUUCCCCCUGCUUUUAAUAGGAGUUUGUAUUUUAGGAACAAAAGAGAAAACCAGGGAAUUUAUCAAGCUUAGGGCGGAGAUGGACCACAUGUUCACUGGAGCAAAGUAUUCGGCGGCUGUCGCAUGGAGACUAUUCUGGAGAAAAUGGGCAUCCAGGGGAAGGUGACAGCGAUGACCAGCUUCGGGAGCUGAUCAGGGAGGACAUGAGGCUGCAGAGGGAGGCAGAGCAGCAGAGGGCACAGAAGAGAAGGGAGAAUUUUGACAGCUUUUUACUUUGCUAGAAAAAAAUGGUUAAGAAAGAUUAAACAUGUACGUAUAAAAUAAAUAUCUAAAUAAAAUCAGUUCUGCAUUAAACACUUGAAUUUUAUUUUUGUUUACAAAAGUGAAUUGUUUAAUAUUACAGGGUAUCCGCUGGGUCUUGAAAAGUCUUAAAAGGUGAUAAAUCGGUUUUGGUCAAAUUAAGACCCUUAGAAAGUAUUAAAAACUAUUAUCACAUCUUUGCUCAGGCUCAGCUUGUCGAAAGUAUUUUCUCUGAAUUAGCUCUCCAACAGUCAAGGAAAUGAUUAAAAAGCUAAUUAAAACUUUGAGCUCCAUCAUUUAAAGUUCCUUCUCCCUUCUGCUCAACGGUUCCACGGUUGCUAGGUGACGGAACGUUCGCCGAGGGAGUGGCGGGAAUUCAUGAAGGCUAGGUCUGUCCAAAUUCACAGCCGUUAACAUCCGGUCUACUCGGCCGACGGAGGACCCAGCUCACGUCGGUCGAGGAGGCUGGGUCCUUCGAAGGAUGCAGACGUGUCUCAAUUUAGGGCCCUGGUUGUGGAUCCUGUAAUGCUUAGGAGCAGCUUUAACCUGUGGGGGCAUGAUGCCAUUUGGCAGGGUGGUGUCGGCAUUGUACAACAUGGGCUGGUAGAGUUAGUUUCACGCAACACGUGGGUGCCCAAUUUCGGUGUGAUCAGGCCAAUGCCAGGGCCUGUUUGUCAUGUUUCUCAGUUUAUUGCUGACAGGCAGGAUGCACUGUCCUGCUGAGAGGAAACCGAUGGUGGGGUAUGACUGACAUAAAGGCCAGGAUUCCAGGUUGUUUGGCAGAAAAGAAAAUCUGGUCUUUUCUAAUAAAUUCAAAUGGUUUUGUGCGAUUUCAUUUCUUUUCUAAUUUUUCAGACUAUUUCUUAAAUACAAAGUUCACAACAAAGGGAUUCACUUUUAGGGCUUUCUCACUCAAUGUUUGUACAGACAUAGCAUGUCUGACUCUUGUUUGUAUUUUCGUGAGUUUGUAAAUGGACACAAGGUUACAUAUUUAUCCCAUUGCAUCAGAGAUACAAACAAUACAUUUUGCCACGCUCACUGAUUAUCUUGUCGUUUUAAAACUGCAAUUUUAGUGUUUAGACAGAAAUUUGAAAGGGACUGACAGAGUUGUGAAAAUAUUUUAUUAAAAAUUUUACAAAGGUGAAAGAAUAAUGCCAUAAAAGGCCUACUCAAUCAUCCUCUUUAGAGGUUGAGGUCCUUUUUCAUUCAAACUUUGUUUGAAGCAGCUGGUUUUAACCUUCACUUCUGAGGGAGAAUUUCCCUUCACAUAAUUAACGUCUUCUGAUCAGCCACUCGUGUCUUUUCUUGCUAGUUUGUAUACAAGCGUCAACAAAGCCAGAUCCGAAUUAAAGAACUCUACAUUGUCUAGAUGAAACGCUGUUAAACAAAGCCAACCUCCACGUUGCACCACUGAGCAGCGCUUGUCUUUGGUUUAAAAUUUGACAGCUACAGAAAAAGUCAAGGCGUGACCUAUUUCUUUCUCUUCUACAACUGAAGGGUGACAUUCUGCUCUGUCAUUGCUACUCCACUCAAAGCUCAGCAGGCCUCCUGACAAAUUAACCCAUGUCCCGAGAGUCACUCGGCCUUGCCACUGCCAUGAAUUUAUCAUGAAAAAAUGUCAUUCAGUUGAACAACCAACUCAGCCGCAUGGUUGGAGCUUUUUUAAAAUAAAUUUAGUGUUGCAGAAUAAACAUGUUCCGUGAGGUCACAAGUUUCUGAUUAAAUAAAUAAAGACCACAAAACAAAAAAUAAUGCGUUUUCAGCUUUAAAGUGAGUUAAUCAAUGAGAUCUAACACUGACUGAGUUUAAGAGUGUUAUAUACCCUAUAUAAAGAAAAGAAAUUCUACAAAGCUUUAUUCGUCUGUUAACAAAGCAUUCUAUCUGCUCUUCAAGCUAGCUAGUUCCCUGUUGGUUGCAGGUCAUUGUCCUUGUAAAGAUACUAAGCUGACACUGAAACAUCGUAUUGCUGGUAAUCAGAUCCACAUAGGUUACGCUAAAAUCUUCCAAAGGUCAAAUAAACUUCAAAACUGAUUUUCUGCUACACCUAGUAUUGGUCUAUUAACUAGCCAAUAUUUCACCUUUGAAGCAGUUUGAAUGCAGAAAUACAAUGUUGAGCUUAAAUUUCUUUAGAUGUAUCCUGUAGCAUUAGAAAAAUGCCUCAAUAAUAUGUUAAAACUGUUUAUUUAAUGGAGUGGGUCUAAACCUAUAGUGGCCAUUGCCCUUUCAUUUUGAUUAAAGCAGGGGUUGGUAACCCGCGGCUCUGGAGCCGCAUGCGGCUCUUCCAUCCAUCUGAUGCGGCUCUCUGUGCUUGUAAAAUAACGAAUGGAUAUUUAAAUAAAAUGCUUUAUAUUUUACUGCAUUAAUUUUACAUCUGUAUGCUAAUUCUAAAUGUAAAGAUUGUCUGCUUAAACCUGAACAGUUCCAACCCGGUCUUACUGGGAGACCGGGUUGACGCGUCACGCUUGUGCGUAAUCAUAUAAGCGCUUUCUGAGCUGAAGACGAUGUCAGAUUCUGGGAUUCUCCUCAGAUGGCUCCUGGAUGUGUCACCACAUUGGAGACAGGAACAAGCACUAUUCAGCCAAAGUUUCGUAAUCAGGGAACAUUUUCUAAGUGACAAGUCUCUCUGAGACAUUGGGUUUCGAAAACACUCGCUUCAGUCGGAGGAAUCUUCCUGCAUGCGCUCUGGUUCUGCGACGUGCUCCAAGCCCCUCUCCACAUCUUCAGCUCGCUGUGCACCUUACAUACGCGCUGUACACGCUGACAGCGAGCUGCGCUGAGCAGUGUCCAUCUCAGAUGUUCAGAUGGGAAUCUUUUCUUGAGUGAUUUAGCUACAUCUGCGAUGUGCGUAACGAAUAAAAUGUCAGUUCGUCUGUAUGCGUCGGGGUAAUUCUUUCUAUUCUUUCUCUGUCAAAAUAAACGGCCAAAUACGGGAACUAUCCGGUCAACACAAGCUCUGCUUUUAACUGUUCUGUUUUCUUGUGAAAAUUGUUGCAAAGAGAUCAAAUUAAACUUGAUUAACACCAGAGCCAGGCGCACUGCGCCGUUAUCUCCGUCACUGUAAAUGAGGGAAAAACAAAUUGAUCGGAUCCUUUUCUGACCUUCCCCACCUACAAAGUUUAAUAACAACAAUCAAACGUGACAGAGCCUGGAUUUGUAUUCUGAACAGUCUAAACAUGUUUUAAAAAGAAAUGUAUGGCAAAAGUGGCACCUGCUCAGUAAAAUCACCAACAGGGUGAAAAAUAUUAACAUAUUGUAGCAGAGACCAGCUACAACUUCUGGAUCCACUUUAUAUAAAUCAUUUUAUUGAUUAUCUUCUUAUGAAAGAUAACUUUGACGUACACGAGCGACCGGUACUGGCUGCUGUCACCUGUUGUGAGCAGCGCUCUGCUGUCUGAGGGUAGGCCCCGCCCACAACGCAGCGGCUGCUGUGGCUCCCAGUGUUUUCUUUACUGCGGGAAACGGGUAAUAAUGGCUUUUUGAUGAGAACAGGUUGCCGACCCCUGGAUUAAAGCAUGAACUAUGAAUACUAUUAAACUGUGGGAACAAAAAAUAAUUGAAGUAGUAUUUAAAAAUAUAUAAAAAUCACACUGUUGCCUGAAUAAAAUAUUUAACUGUUAUUGUUGCAACUAAUGAUAGAAAAAUAUCAAAGAAGAAAAAUAAACAGUGCUUUUCUUUGGGUCUGGGAUGUAAACAGUUAGCUUAACUUGAACAUGUUGCCUUUUAUUUAAAUUGUAUCCAAAACGAUACAUAAUGUGAAUAUAAAGCAAUGCAGCUGCAAAAAAAAUAAAAAUAAAAAAGUCUACUUAAUUAAACAUUUGAGUGAAUGUAUUUGGUAGGACCCUCCCUCUCUGCUGUGCAUGAGCGCCCUGAGAAUCAGACAGUCAAGCAUGUAGAUUGUCUUCCUCAGAUUGUCUGUGUGAUGUGACUGUUUUGCAAAUAUGCCGAGAUUUUUAGUAGAAAGAAACAACAAGAAACUUUAUUUUUUGUAUAGGAGCCUAAUGAGUCAUUAGCUGGAUUCACAAAGACAUUUAUAGUAUUCCACUGACCCAACAAAACACAGUAAUGGAAUUUAAAUGUGUACCAAAACUAAAUUUAUGUCAGCACAAAGACUAUUUUUCAUUAACUGUUGAAUGUUCAGUAAAAAAAAAACAAUAUUAAAAUUCUCUGUUCUACACAUUUUCAAAACGAAUUUAAACUGAAAACACUAAAGUUAGAGAGGGCCACAGUUUUCUUCCCAUUACAGGUCUAUUGUGCCAUUCACAACAAUCGCAGCACAAAGUCAAGAUGGCUUCAGGCAGAUUUGCAUGUGGACAAAGCAAAUUUGUUUAUCCUGACAAGCAGUUGUCACACAGGACUGAUCAAACCAGGCUUGAUUUGCAACAGUCCCACAAGGAUUACAUGGCUGCUGCGCGGCGUGAUUGACAUUCUUUCGUCUGAUCACGGUUCCUCUGCUUCGGCCACCUUCAACCUGAUCAAUUCUUGUCUCCCUCUGUGGCUCAGGCAGUGCAGAUGUGAGGAUUUUCUCCUUUUGAAGUGCUUUUAAAGAACGUGGCCAAUAUUUCUUUAAGACUUGUCAAUUUUUUUUUUUAAACUACAAGAGAAAGUCACGAUAAAAGUUACGUUGAUUUUAGUUGCAAAUCAGUGAACUUGCACAGAAUUUUUUGCAUGAUUCUUAGUUUGUGUUUUUAAUACCAGAAAAUUUGUAUAUUUCAUUACUUUCUGAUUUGUGAGGGUUUUAAUUUUGUACCUUUUGUAAGUAAUAGUUUUCUGUGUUGCGGCUCAAACACAAAAGCCCGUCAGCCAAAUGCUUCCACAAUUUCUUUAAAUUGACCUGUGACUAAAACUGCCUACAUAAUCUGCUGUGGGUUAUAAUGCAAUCACAGCUAUUUAUGUUGGAAUACAUAGUGUUUUAUGUUAUUUUCAGAAUGUUUUAUGCUACAGUGUCAUCAGAGUUUAUCCCAGAAUGCACCAGGCAUAGCAAAGUAAUUAUAACAAUGUAACACGCUCAGUGGGAGGGAGUAUUAAUCCUUUGAAUCCAGAUUAUAAAAUGUAUCAAAGGCAUGUGUUUUAGUUAGACCCUACUGUAUAUGUCACUUCAUUACUCAUCAUCAUCAUGGCACCAUGAAAACAGCUUGUAGACGUGGAUUUUGUUCUGUCAAAACCCUUUACACGCUGAUAAAAACCGAGUCAAACCCUAAACAGAACAGUUGAUAAAAGGUUGAUCUCAUGGUGAAAGUCAUAUUUUCUGGCUGAAACUAUGCUUACGAUAGCUGUCAUUUAGAAGUGUAAACAAAUGAAACAGAAUGAGAUCAGGAUCCUUAUUUAGAAAGCUCCCCUCAUUUCUGUUUGAAAGAAAAAAUGAAACGCUGUAUCUUCAGAAGCACCUGCAGCCCCCUGCUUGCUCAACUUUCUGCUCCCCCUCAUGCCCAUAUUGAUCCAAAAGAGAUGCUUUAGGAAUUGAUUAUUCUUUUCAAACACCGGUUCAGGUCAGAAAACAUUACAACUCGUUUGAUUUUCUGCUUCAUAUAAGAACAUUAGGUGUGUUUCAGGACAACACGUCGCUAAAGAGCGCUCCUGUAUUCUGCUUUAUGAGCGUUCACGUCUGGACGCGUGUGUCUAAAGUCGCAAACAUUCAUUUCUAGGCUGUGCUUCAUUUAUAUGCAGCAAACGUUGGGCUAAAAAACCAAAGCGUUCUGCCUGUAAAUGUGUGAAGAAUUGUUGACGUAACGGUAUCGGUUAAUAGUCGCAGCAGUCAGGUCUGCUGUGUGUCUUGUUAUCCUGUUAUCCCUUAAGGCUGGAAUUAUGUCUUCUAUCAAAUAUUUGAUCGUAGGCAACUUAAAAAGAUGGUUCUAUUUUUUUCGUAUUUUAAACCUCUUUCCAGGAAAAAGGAAUGAGGGAGAAAUGAUCGUCCAAUCACUACAGCGCCUGAGAUUGAACAAAGUAUCCUUGCCAUGGGAGACCAAUUUCAGCUCAAUUAUAUCCACUCCCUGCUGCUUUUGCCCUCUGUAGUGCUCAACCAAGCUGCUGGGAAAGUUCUUCUCAUCUAGGAAAGAUGUUGAGAUAAUUAUUUUUUUUUUCUUAAUGGUAAACUUAAGCUCUCAUUGCUUGGCUGUUUUUAGUGGGAAUGUUGAUUCCUCAGCGGCUCUAAAGUGGCUCCUGGGAUGACUACUUUUUCAUUUCUUUUUUUUUUUUUUUUUUUGGUGGGGGAUCUGACUUGUCCAUCAUGACUGAUUUCGAUCUGGAUUCCUUCAUAUUGGCAGUCGGGCUUAGGAUUUGCAGAUGUAAAUCAAUACUGUGCCUAUCAAGUGUUGAAGUGAGUGUUUGAGCCUUAGGGAAACAUGCUGCAUACGCAGCCUCUCGUGCUUCUAGGGUUUUUUAUCAGAUUCUCGGAUGGUGGAGGGAGUUGAAGGGAAUUUUACAGCUGUUAGAAUAUUUAUAAUACAACUUGUUGACUUGUUGUUGUACGUACAGUUAUGUUAUUUCAUCUUAUGUAAAAAUCUGAUUUAGCUGAUAAUAAUAAUAAUUAGUUUGAAAAGAGAAAAUCAAAAUAAAGACACAGUGAGGUAUGUAGGAGUUUGCAAGACGUGCUCUGUAAAGCAAUCAGGCCGUGAAGCCACUCUCAUUUGAUGCUGCGGCUUAAUGAGACAUCCUGGUUGAACUUUACUACGAGAAGAAAACAGGAACCCUAAGGGAAAUUUUUUUUCUUUCUUUUUUGGAUCAUUGUGAGCAGGCAGGGUUGUUGGCGCUGACAACUCAGCUAUUGCAUUCUGAGGACCUGCGUGACAUCUGUAAACAAGUGGUGUGAAUUCUCUGCACAUAAUGCAGCGCAAACCACUCAGCAACUGUUUUCACAAGAAUAACAACAAGUCCUUUCUCCUGGCAAGCCUGCCAAACAUCCUUAU